UACAGAAUUGAUUACUUGUCUUGCUUGAUGGUCAUAUGGUAUUCAAGUGCAUCCAGUUCACUGCUUUGCUUCGCCUACUUACAUUAGGCUUUCCAUUCUUUAACCUUUGCAUCGGCUUAGAGACCUCAAGAGAGAAUCUAAGCUAAUUUGGACUAAAAGAUGGUGCUUUCAUUGGACAGUGCAAUCUUAUGGACUGCUGCUCGAUACAAUUAAGCAAAUUUUACUGAUCCUCAUGCUUUCAAAAUGAUUGGACAAGGCCCGUGCUACAUAAUUUUGAUAUUUGCUGGUGCAAUUUCACGUUUGUGCUGCAAUUUCACCCACAAGCCAGCCGAAGAGAUUGUUCGUCUUCGUAACCCCUUUGGCAGCAGGAAAUGCGCGAAAGAUGAUCUCCGACACGGAAAUCAAGCUUCUGUUUGAAGCUGCUGGCAUGAGUAUCGCAGUACAAACUUUAUAAGAUAGUGUCAAAUUUCUAAGGAACUUUUCUGGUAGCUGUCUGAUUAACGUUUGAGAAAAAAAAGUCAAAGGUUUGGUGGCCGACAUAGAUAUUGAGUCUCAGAAAUACCGGUGGAUGAGAAAUGCACACUUCGACUUCUAUAUUGAUGCGGAGCUGGGUCUGUUGUUCGGGUCCUGCUGGGCUCUGAAAUUUUCACCAACUUCACCUCUAUAUCAGUACCACGCUUUGACUCUAAUGUAUGAUAGCUCCUUAUUCUAUAUUGUCAAAUUGCAAGUAUCUGGAUACCUGUAUAUGUGAGACUCUAGAGAUUGAAAUGGUGUUAUCGGCUUAUUGCAAGGGUAAAGCUUGCCACCUGAAUUGGAUCAAAAUUGAAAUCGUGGCGGCAACCGCAAGGACCCAUGCUGUUUGUUUCAUUUAUCUUUUCACUGCGAUUCGUGGAAAAGGUGCUUUUCUGAAUGACUAUCCAAUCAAAGGUAUACCCAGAUUUGGUGCCAAUCGGUCUGAGCAACAUAUUGGCCCUUGCAGUGCUUGUAUACUGUUUUCCUCCAACUGCUCUCCUUAUUUGAAUAUGUGAGUUAGUGAAGGCUCUUCCGGUAACAGAGGUGACUUUGCGAUUUGUAAGUGUUUGCUUUUUGAAAAGACAUGUGCUUAAUGGUAAUUUCGACCCAUGGCAUCCAACCAAUAGCAUCUUUUGUAAAUAAGGUUUCUACAUUUUGUAACACAAAUUUCUCUUGUAAAUAAGUUGGUACAAGAUGAAAUGCUCGUGAUUUAUCAAUGAUUUGAGAUGCAAAUUUAACAUUUUUUAUGUUCAUUCUUCAUUAAUCGUUCGUUCAAGAUACUUCUGUUUGAAUAAGUUCUGAACUUGGUUUUAACUGAUCUUCUAUCAGAUAGUUUUGGAAAUACUCGCAUCGCACUGUCCAACACAAUUUUCUAUGGUUGACUUUUGAGUGGCCAUAUCGAACAAUAUCUGUUGAUGGAUUAAAUUUGUGGUUUUACAUUGUGAUGAUGUGAUCGUAGCAUUGGGAUUUAUGAAUGCUUUAACCGAUGAUUCGAAUCAGGACAAGAAAUGGCUAAGAGUGGUGAUCAAGUACUUGAUGCUAUUACAGCCACUGGUAUGGAUGACCAUGCAAGAGUCUGAUCAGCCAGUCACUGUCGGCCACAUGACGAUACACUUACACCGUGAGCAGAAUACUUUGAAUUUGGUUGCUAAUGUUCACAAGAUGGAGGUGCUUCCGAAGGUGUUUGAUCAUGGGCUGGAUGCAGGUGCUAAAUUCAUAAAGCCAGGGUUUGAUAUUUCAGUUGAGGAUUUGCAGUCCGGUGUUCCUUUUGCUGCAAUUAACAUCAAGAGACACCAGUUCAAGGUCUGUGGGAAGUUAUUAAGGUCAGGGCGUGCUUUGGGAGGACACAUGAGGUUACACUAUGUCCGGAAGUACAAUCUUGCUGAUUGUCCUAAUUCUGCUAUGAUGGAAGAGCAAAUGCAGAAGCAUUGGACUCACCCAUCUUUUUAUCUGCGUAUACCAGGUUCACAUGGGAUUGAAAUCUGAUUCUGAGCCAAAGCUGGGUUCAACAUGUUGUCCGAAACAACCAGUUAAGUUGUCUAGACUCAUUUGGAACUUGAAGAACUCCAUUUCAUCGGCUGGAUUCUGUAGAUAGUUAAGAGAUUUCGAGACUGGCACUUUCUUGAUCAACAAAAAAUGGUGGAUAUGGAAGGGCAAGGAUCUUAACUCACCGCUCGCCUAUGAAACAGUGUCAAAAUUUGUCGAAGUAACAAUCAAUUAAAGUAUUUAUAUUGAAUAAUAUUUUUAUUUUUUAAGGUAGUUUAGUCUUGAGUUUACAGAAAUUCAACAUCUAUAUUUUUGUGGUUAUUGGGACUUGACUUUUGUUUUUUCUUAUUGAAUAAUUUUAAUUCAUGUGAUACUAAUUGUAGUU